AAGCUUCCAAGAAAAGCCUCUAAGCUUCAGUUGAAGAGUGACCGUACCGCAAACCGACACAGGUGGGCAGGGUGAGAAUCCUAAGGCGCUUGAGAGAACUCUGGAGAAGGAACUCGGCAAAUUGACACCGUAACUUCGGGAUAAGGUGUGCCUCUAUUACGUGAAGACCCUCGCGGUCGGAGCGGUAAGAGGUUGCAGUGAAAAGGUGGCUGCGACUGUUUAACAAAAACACAGCACUGUGCAAACACGAAAGUGGACGUAUACGGUGUGACGCCUGCCCGGUGCCGGAAGGUUAAGUGAUGGGGUGCAAGCUCUUGAUCGAAGCCCCGGUAAACGGCGGCCGUAACUAUAACGGUCCUAAGGUAGCGAAAUUCCUUGUCGGGUAAGUUCCGACCCGCACGAAUGGCGUAACGAUGGCCACACUGUCUCCUCCAGAGACUCGGCGAAAUUGAAGUGUUUGUGAAGAUGCAAUCUCCCCGCGGCUAGACGGAAAGACCCCAUGAACCUUUACUGCAGCUUUGCAUUGGACUUUGACGGGACAUGUGUAGGAUAGGUGGGAGGCUGUGAAGCGGUGACGCUAGUCAUCGUGGAGCCAACCUUGAAAUACCACCCUUGUGUCUUUGAGGUUCUAACCUAGACCCCUUAUCGGGGUCGGGGACCGUGCAUGGUAGGCAGUUUGACUGGGGCGGUCUCCUCCCAAAAGGUAACGGAGGAGCACGAAGGUUGGCUAGACACGGUCGGAAAUCGUGUUGAUAGUGCAAGGGCAUAAGCCAGCUUAACUGCGAGACCCACAAGUCGAGCAGAUGCGAAAGCAGGUCCUAGUGAUCCGGUGGUUCUGUAUGGAAGGGCCAUCGCUCAACGGAUAAAAGGUACUCUGGGGAUAACAGGCUGAUUCCGCCCAAGAGUUCACAUCGACGGCGGAGUUUGGCACCUCGAUGUCGGCUCAUCUCAUCCUGGGGCUGUAGCCGGUCCCAAGGGUAUGGCUGUUCGCCAUUUAAAGAGGUACGUGAGCUGGGUUCAAAACGUCGUGAGACAGUUUGGUCCCUAUCUGCCUUGGGCGCUGGAGAUUUGACGGGGGCUGCUCCUAGUACGAGAGGACCGGAGUGGACGAACCUCUGGUGUACCGGUUAUCACGCCAGUGGUAUCGCCGGGUAGCUAAGUUCGGAAGAGAUAAACGCUGAAAGCAUCUAAGCGUGAAACUCGCCUGAAGAUGAGAUCUCCCGGAGGCUUGACCUCCUUGAAGGGUCGUU
rnacentral:rRNA from 1 species